rnacentral:SRP_RNA from 1 species
UCGUGCUAGACGGGGAGCUAGCGGUGCCCUGAACCCGCAAUCCGCUAUAGCGGGGUCGAAUUCCCUGCUCCCGGUGCGGUCUCUUUUCGGUUCAACAACCGCGCUGCAGUGUUGAUGGCCGGGAGCCGCGCAUCUGCGAGUGCUCGAACCGUGUCAGGGCCGGAAGGCAGCAGCACUAAGAGUGUCUCCCAGAGUGCCGCGGGAACGCCUGGCCGGAGCUGCAGACGACUGCUUCCGGGGAGAGCCGCAUCAAAAGCAGGGUGCACGA